UACGUAGGGUGCGAGCGUUGUCCGGAAUUAUUGGGCGUAAAGGGCUCGUAGGCGGUUUGUCACGUCGGGAGUGAAAACUCGGGGCUUAACCCCGAGCCUGCUUCCGAUACGGGCUGACUAGAGGUAUGCAGGGGAGAACGGAAUUCCUGGUGUAGCGGUGAAAUGCGCAGAUAUCAGGAGGAACACCGGUGGCGAAGGCGGUGGUCUGGGCCGGAACUGACGCUGUAGAGCGAAAGCGUGGGGAGCGAACAGG
rnacentral:rRNA from 1 species